rnacentral:rRNA from 1 species
UACGGAGGGAGCUAGCGUUGUUCGGAAUUACUGGGCGUAAAGCGCACGUAGGCGGCUUUGUAAGUUAGAGGUGAAAGCCCCGGAGCUCAACUCCGGAACUGCCUUUAAGACUGCAUCGCUUGAAUCCAGGAGAGGUGAGUGGAAUUCCGAGUGUAGAGGUGAAAUUCGUAGAUAUUCGGAAGAAACACCAGUGGCGAAGGCGGCUCACUGGACUGGUAUUGACGCUGAGG